GGGCUCUUCUCUUGAAUCAUUUAUCAAAUGCUACAAGAUUCAGUUUUUAUAUCUGUCAAUAUUAAAUGUCAAAACCAGCUACUCAAAUUUUCGGAAUUACUUUUAUUUUCCUCCAUCAGGUUUUCCCCUGGAAUGAAUCCAGGAUAUGACCUGGAAUAUUUACCAACUAAAAGAUCCUUAAACUUUUCUAAUGUUCAUGAAUCAUGAUGCAGCAGGGUUUUUCAAACUAAAACCAAAUCCCUGGAAUAUUCUCAUUCACAGGCUAAAACAUUCUUAAACUUGCAGUAUUUUCAAACUAAAACCAACUCAAGACUUAGGAUGUAGAUAUUCAGGAUAAAAUAGUAUGAUGAUGAAUGUAAGUGAUGAGCAAGAAACAAAUAACUAAUGUCUUUCACAAUUCAUAAAGUUUUAAUUCUCUUACAGUAUUGGAGGAGACUGAGACAAGAACUCAAAGUAAAAAAAAAAAAAAAAAGAAACGAAGAAAAACUAAAACAUGUUUGGUUGUUAAAAGACAUAGUGAUCAAAGAAGAGAAGUAUUGGAAUCUUACAUGAAGCCCAGAUUCCAAAUCUUAUUCAUAUAAUAUCCUCCAUUUUCUAAGCAACCAAACAUAUCUCCGUUAAAAAAGAAAACCCAAAAGAAACAAAGGAGGAUAAGCCAAGCAUUAGACUUGCCUAGAGGUUAAUAUUUCCUCGAAGCUAUGAUCAUAUCUUCUUAAUUUGGUCCAAUUAUUUAGGCCAUGGCUCAAAUGCAAAACCAUUCUUGGACAGUAUAACAAUACCACUGAACAUGAACAAAAUUUGGCCUCGAAUAUCUUCUGCAAGAAAUUCCAUGGUCAUCAUCUUCUUCUCCUUGAUCCAAAAUGUGAUAAUUGAAACCCCAAAGAAAAUCAAAAAUCGAAAGGGAAAAUAUUUGAGAGGACGAGAGAACCUAGGUAGAGAUGAGGGUGAGAAAAUUCAAGAGUGAAAGGUGAUUACCAUAUAUAAUUGAGGAAUGAAUGUAUAAUAUUAUUUCCUAGUUCUUG
rnacentral:lncRNA from 1 species